rnacentral:rRNA from 1 species
UCCUACGGGACGCAGCAGGCGCGAAAACUCUACAAUGCAGGCAACUGCGAUAGGGGGACAUCGAGUGGCAUCCACCUUGGGUGCCUGUCCAACCGUCUAAAAAACGGUUGUUAGCAAGGGCCGGGUAAGACCGGUGCCAGCCGCCGCGGUAAUACCGGCGGCUCGAGUGGUGGCCGAUAUUAUUGAGUCUAAAGGGUCCGUAGCCGGCUUUGCAAGUCCCCUGGGAAAUCCAGCGGCUUAACCGUUGGGCUUUCAUGGGAUACUACAUUGCUUGGGACUGGGAGAGGUAGGAGGUACUCGAGGGGUAGGGGUGAAAUCCUGUAAUCCUUCGGGGACCACCGGUGGCGAAGGCGUCCUACCAGAACAGGUCCGACGGUGAGGGACGAAAGCUAGGGGCACGAACCGGAUUAGAUACCCGGGUAGUCUG